rnacentral:rRNA from 1 species
UACGUAGGGUGCAAGCGUUAAUCGGAAUUACUGGGCGUAAAGCGUGCGCAGGCGGUUGUGCAAGACCGAUGUGAAAUCCCCGGGCUUAACCUGGGAAUGGCAUUGGUGACUGUACGGCUAGAGUGUGUCAGAGGGGGGUAGAAUUCCACGUGUAGCAGUGAAAUGCGUAGAGAUGUGGAGGAAUACCGAUGGCGAAGGCAGCCCCCUGGGACAACACUGACGCUGAGGCACGAAAGCGUGGGGAGCAAACAGGG